AUUGAACGCUGGCGGCAGGCCUAACACAUGCAAGUCGAACGAGUGGCGGACGGGUGAGUAAUGUCUGGGAAUCUGCCUGAUGGAGGGGGAUAACUACUGGAAACGGUGGCUAAUACCGCAUACCAUCAGAUGUGCCCAGAUGGGUUUAGCUUGGUGGUGGGGUAACGGCACACCAGGGCGACGAUCCCUAGCGGGUCUGAGAGGUGGACCGGCGACACGGGAACUGAGACACGGCCCAGACGCCUACGGGAGGCAGCAGUGGGGAAUAUUGGGCAAUGGGCGCAAGCCUGAUGCAGCCAGGCCGCGUGUGUUAAGAAGGCCUUCGGGUUGUAAAGUACUUUCAGCGGGGAGGCGUUACCUGUAGAAGAAGCACCGGCUAACUCCGUGCCAGCAGCCGCGGUAAUUC
rnacentral:rRNA from 1 species